CCUCCCCACAAACUUUUUCCCUUCAAAAACCCCUUCUGAAUUCCUUCUUCAACCUCUCCCACUCUCUCUCUCUCUCUCUCUCUCUCUCUGAAACUAAAAGCCAAGAUUUCCGAGGGUUGAAACAUGACAGAGAUUAUCAUAGGAAACGACAUACUAUUCCAAGACAUGUUCAAAACUAGAGAGAUCUUCAUCAAAGAAAUCUUGGGAAGAACAUUAACUAUAUUGCAGGUCAGACUAUGUUUGUAAAUUUAUGUUGGCGCUAUCUUACCUGAGCUUUAUUAAAAUUCCGUUUUCAUCUCAUCCCAUUUGAUCAGUCGCUUUUCCUCUCUCGACCCUCCGUUUUCGCUUCUUGACCUUGUAAGGCCUUUUCUUGGCCUUGUAAGACCUAUUGCUUAAUCCUCUAGUCUUUCUAUAACUUACUCGAGACACUUUCUUUUAUGACCUACUAAGAGAGAGUUAAGCAAUUAGGGUUCCUAGUUCUUUUCCAACUCAUAAUCUCAUCCCUUGUCUAUCCCUUCUGAGCUACUCGUUUGGUUCUUUUCUGGUCCUAAGUUUUAGUUUCACUCCUAAUACGUAUAAUUAUAACAUUAAUAGUGUAUGAUUUAUUGUAUAAUUAUUGAGACGAUCGAGUUGAUGUAAUCAAAAUUUGAUAUCGGAUUGAUUGUAAUCUCAUGUUUUGUUAUUAUUAUUACUAUUACUUCUGUUUUGAGAAAAAUGAUGCGAAAGGGAUUUGAAUCUACGUGUAUAAUCAAGAUUUGUAUCCAUGAGACCGGUGUUAUUUGUGUGAUGAUCCAAGAGAUUUUUAUCUUGCUGUAAAAGUAAAUUAGCGAGAAGAACAAUUUAUACGUUGUGGUAAUUUUAUGUGAAUUAAGAAGGCAGUGCAUGGUACUGACGAUGGGGCCGGCCAGCAAGUGAGUUUGACAAUUUGUUUUUCCCUGAUGAGCAGAAAGUGAUAUUGAAAGAUGAAAGAAAAUAUUCGCUACAGUACUAUAUAUAUAUAUAUAUAUAGAGUGUGUGUGUGUGUGUGUGUGUGUUUAUCAGUCUAUGUUAACGAAAGAGCAAGACAAUAUAUAUUCUUUGAAAUUUUGUAGUGACUGAUGUAAUAGAAUAUAGAGUGAUAAGACUUGUGUAUUAUUGGUGG